rnacentral:tRNA from 1 species
UUUUGUUUUAGUAGAGGUUUUGAAAACCUUUCGAGAGAAUAUAUGUUCUCAACAAAAA